rnacentral:rRNA from 1 species
ACCGGGGUUGCGGACAGUGUCUGGUGGGUAGUUUGACUGGGGCGGUCUCCUCCUAAAGAGUAACGGAGGAGCACGAAGGUUGGCUAAUCCUGGUCGGACAUCAGGAGGUUAGUGCAAUGGCAUAAGCCAGCUUGACUGCGAGCGUGACGGCGCGAGCAGGUGCGAAAGCAGGUCAUAGUGAUCCGGUGGUUCUGAAUGGAAGGGCCAUCGCUCAACGGAUAAAAGGUACUCCGGGGAUAACAGGCUGAUACCGCCCAAGAGUUCAUAUCGACGGCGGUGUUUGGCACCUCGAUGUCGGCUCAUCACAUCCUGGGGCUGAAGUAGGUCCCAAGGGUAUGGCUGUUCGCCAUUUAAAGUGGUACGCGAGCUGGGUUUAGAACGUCGUGAGACAGUUCGGUCCCUAUCUGCCGUGGGCGCUGGAGAACUGAGGGGGGCUGCUCCUAGUACGAGAGGACCGGAGUGGACGCAUCACUGGUGUUCGGGUUGUCAUGCCAAUGGCACUGCCCGGUAGCUAAAUGCGGAAGAGAUAAGUGCUGAAAGCAUCUAAGCACGAAACUUGCCCCGAGAUGAGUUCUCCCUGACUCCUUGAGAGUCCUGAAGGAACGUUGAAGACGACGACGUUGAUAGGCCGGGUGUGUAAGCGCAGCGAUGCGUUGAGCUAACCGGUACUAAUGAACCGUGAGGCUUAACCUUACAACGCCGAAG